rnacentral:rRNA from 1 species
GACGAACACUGGCGGCGUGCUUAACACAUGCAAGUCGAACGGAAAGGCCCUGCUUUUGUGGGGUGCUCGAGUGGCGAACGGGUGAGUAACACGUGAGUAACCUGCCCUUGACUUUGGGAUAACUUCAGGAAACUGGGGCUAAUACCGGAUAGGAGCUCCUGCUGCAUGGUGGGGGUUGGAAAGUUUCGGCGGUUGGGGAUGGGCUCGCGGCUUAUCAGCUUGUUGGUGGGGUAGUGGCUUACCAAGGCUUUGACGGGUAGCCGGCCUGAGAGGGUGACCGGCCACAUUGGGACUGAGAUACGGCCCAGACUCCUACGGGAGGCAGCAGUGGGGAAUAUUGCACAAUGGGCGGAAGCCUGAUGCAGCAACGCCGCGUGCGGGAUGACGGCCUUCGGGUUGUAAACCGCUUUCGCCUGUGACGAAGCGUGAGUGACGGUAAUGGGUAAAGAAGCACCGGCUAACUACGUG